GAACCCGUGGCGCAGUGGUAGCGCGUAUGAUUCCAGCAGUGUCCUCUGCGACUUGAAAAUGAAAAUCCAUAAGGUCAUCCGUUCAAUCCGGGUCGGGUUCA